GGCGAUAUGGCCGAGCGGUCUAAGGCGCCAGAAUCAGGAUGUUGUCCUAUCUGGUCCGAAAGGGCGUGGGUUCGAAUCCCACUGUCGUCA